rnacentral:rRNA from 1 species
GAUGAACGCUGGCGGCGUGCUUAACACAUGCAAGUCGAACGGAAAGGCCCAAGCUUGCUUGGGUACUCGAGUGGCGAACGGGUGAGUAACACGUGGGUGAUCUGCCCCGCACUUCGGGAUAAGCCUGGGAAACUGGGUCUAAUACCGGAUAGGACCACUUCUUGGAGGUUGUGGUGGAAAGUUUUUUCGGUGUGGGAUGAGCUCGCGGCCUAUCAGCUUGUUGGUGGGGUAAUGGCACAGCAAGGCGUCGACGGGUAGCCGGCCUGAGCGGGUGUACGGCGAAAUUGGGACUGGGAUACGGCACAGACUCCAACGGGAGGCAGGGGAGGGGAAUAUUGCACAAUGGGCGCAAGCCUGAUGCAGCGACGCCGCGUGGGGGAUGACGUCCUUCGGGUUGUAAACUCAUUUCGCUAGGGACGAAGCGCAAGUGACGGUACCUAGAGAAGAAGCACCGGCUAACUACGUG